GAUGAAGAACGUAGCGAAAUGCGAUAAGUAGUGUGAAUUGCAGAAUUCAGUGAAUCAUCGAAUCUUUGAACGCACAUUGCGCCCCUUGGUAUUCCAUGGGGCAUGCCUGUUCGAGCGUCAUUUGUACCUUCAAGCUCUGCUUGGUGUUGGGUGUUUGUCUCGCCUCUGCGUGUAGACUCGCCUUAAAACAAUUGGCAGCCGGCGUAUUGAUUUCGGAGCGCAGUACAUCUCGCGCUUUGCACUCAUAACGACGACGUCCAAAAGUACAUUUUUACACUCUUGACCUCGGAUCAGGUAGGGAUACCCGCUGAACUUAAGCAUAUCAAUAAGCGGGGA
rnacentral:misc_RNA from 1 species